AUUUCAAAAACGGACAGAACUUUCCGGUAGACCUGAUAUAUUGAUGGAAAUUUCGAUAGAGAUUUGGAGGUUCCGCGAGAUGAAAUAUCGUCGAAGGUAGAAGAAGAAUUUGUCAAAAUGUCAACAAAAUUUACGGAGCAUGCAUGUAUCACUAAUAUCUGCCAUGUCAUUUUGGCCGGCAACACAAUAGAGUCGCAAUUAAUAGCUUUCUUUCGUACCUUGUUCUAAUUAAGGCAUCCCCGGUGUCUCAUUACUCGUCAAUCGCUAUUACAGGGCCGGCGCGAAAGGACGGGCGUUUUCAGAAGAAAAGUGACAAUCCUGCAUAUGCUUUUAUAAUUUUUUUAUCGCACAUACAACUUUAAAGAUGCAACGAUGAUAUUUAAGUUACGAACUAUUAGAUACAGAUGUUAAAGCUACUUAAGGAACGUUAUCCUUAACAUAUCCUCUUCGCAAUGGAAUUAUUUUCAAUUUUUAUCCAGCUUGAUAUUUACGACAAUGCGAUUCGUUGAUUCCUUAGAGGAGGAUUCUAUCGUGGCGCUGAAGAAUCUAUCGUCGACCCUGCGCGUUUCCUUGCUAUUGGCCCAUAUUCGCCCAAAUAUCGCGCUCGUACUCAAAGCAGUUAGGGUCGCGGCCGCCAAAAGUGGUGAAGUGCCCGAGGCCGCGCUGUCACCCAUGAAAGGACAUCCUCGUCGACGAGGAGAUUCCGAAGAGCGUUUCGUGGUUCCGUAUUUC